UACGGAGGGGGCUAGCGUUGUUCGGAAUUACUGGGCGUAAAGCGCGUGUAGGCGGCUUGGCAAGUCAGUUGUGAAAGCCCGGGGCCCAACCCCGGAAUUGCAUCUGAAACUGCCUGGCUGGAGUCCCGGAGAGGAAGGCAGAAUUCCCGGUGUAGGGGUGAAAUCCGUAGAUAUCGGGAGGAAUACCAGCGGCGAAGGCGGCCUUCUGGACGGUGACUGACGCUGAGACGCGAAAGCGUGGGGAGCAAACAGG
rnacentral:rRNA from 1 species